CAGUUGGUUAAAGUGCGUAGGUGUUGAGUCAGUAGGCAAAUCCGCUGAUGAACUGAAACAUGAUAGUACUCAGAUCCUUUCGGGGUGAAGAGAUAGUGACUCCAAGCAUACUUCCAAGAAAAACCUCUAAGCUUCAGGUAAUAACAGCCCGUACCAUAAACCGACACAGGUAGUCGAGGAGAAUAUCCUAAGGCGGUCGAGUGAGUCAUGGCUAAGGAACUAGGCAAAUUAGUCUCGUAACUUCGGGAAAAGAGACCCCCACUUCGGUGGGGCGCAGAGAAAUGGCCCAGGCGACUGUUUAGCAAAAACACAGGACUCUGCAAAAUCGAAAGAUGACGUAUAGGGUCUGACACCUGCCCGGUGCCAGAAGGUUAAGGAAGGGGGUUAGCGCAAGCGAAGCUCUUGACUGAAGCCCCGGUAAACGGCGGCCGUAACAAUAACGGUCCUAAGGUAGCGAAAUUCCUUGUCGGGUAAGUUCCGACCUGCACGAAUGGUGUAACGAUCUGGGCACUGUCUCAGCCAUGAGCUCGGUGAAAUUGAAGUAUCGGUGAAGAUGCCGGUUACCCGCCACGGGACGAAAAGACCCCGUGCACCUUUACUAUAGCUUCACAUUGUGCUUGAAUAUAAGAUGUGUAGGAUAGGUGGGAGACUUUGAAGCGGCCACGCUAGUGGUUGUGGAGUCAACGUUGAAAUACCACCCUUCUUCUAUUUAGGUUCUAACCCCGUACCCACGGGGGACAGUGUGUGGUGGGUAGUUUGACUGGGGUGGUCGCCUCCUAAAGAGUAACGGAGGCUUGCAAAGGUGCCCUCAGCAUGGACGGUAAUCAUGCGAAGAGCGUAUUAGUAUAAGGGCGCUUGACUGAGAGAGCGACGGCUCGACCAGGUACGAAAGUAGGCUAAAGUGAUCCGGUGUUUCCGCAUGGAAGGGACAUCGCUCAAAGGAUAAAAGGUACGCCGGGGAUAACAGGCUGAUCUCCCCCAAGAGCCCAUAUCGACGGGGAGGUUUGGCACCUCGAUGUCGGUUCGUCACAUCCUGGGGCUGAAGAAGGUCCCAAGGGUUCGGCUGUUCGCCGAUUAAAGUGGCACGUGAACUGGGUUCAGAACGUCGCAAGACAGUUCGGUCUCUAUCUGUGGUGGGCGUUGUAAUAUUGAAGGGAACUGACUCUAGUACGAGAGGACCGAGUUGGACGUACCUCUAGUGUAUCUGUUGUGCCGCCAGGUGCAAUGCAGAGUAGCUAUGUACGGACUAGAUAAGCGCUGAAAGCAUCUAAGCGCGAAGCUAUCCUUAAGAUGAGUAUUACUGGGGUCGUAGAAGACGACUACGUUGAUAGGCUAUAGGUGUAAGCGUAGUAAUACGUUCAGCUGAGUAGUACUAAUUACCCCUUAGCUUC
rnacentral:rRNA from 1 species